rnacentral:lncRNA from 1 species
CCAAGAAAUAGCAACAACAACAACAACAAGACCAAAAAAAAAAAAAAGAAGUUGUACCCCUUAAAUCUUUUAUUUUCCUUCUAAGUCUGUGUGGGGAAACAGUAAAGAUCGAGGUGAAAUGUUAGUGCUACAUGAAAAACAAUUUCAGCACUAACAGAAGAAACUGCUCAAGGUGGGGAAGAUGCAAGAGUUCAUCAUUCACGCAGUGUAAUGACAUUGGGAAAGGCUGGCCAUUUUUUCACACCUUGCAUCUAAUCUCUUAGGUAAUCCCAAUGGUUCUUCCUUCACAAUAGAUCCAGAAAGUGAUGAAAUGAGAACUUCUUCAUCUCUUCUUUCUUCCACCACUAUAUGAACUACCCCCACCUAUGGCCUGAAUCAAUGAACCUGCCUCCCAACAGGUACUUCUUACUGUGGCUGCCUCCCCAGUCUAUUCUCAAAACAGCAUCCAGAGUAAUCUUCUUAAAAUGUAAGAAGAGUUGUGCCAUUCUUCUGUUGAAAAUCAUCCAAUGGCUUACAUCUCACUGAGUAAAUGCCAACAUCCUGAAGAUGCCAGGAUACCCUCCAGAGCCUACUUCUGUCUUUCUGACACUGUCACCUCUAAGUCUUCCAUUGCUCACUCUGGAUUCCUUGAUCUUCCUCCUAUUGAAUAGGCACCUCCUACUUGAGGGUCUUUGUAUUGACCACCUGCUCUGUUGGAGGCAGCUGCAGUCAACCAUGCUCUCCCCAGACACCCUUCUGAUUGUACUUGCACCUGCUUCAAGCCUUUGCCUAAGUCUUGCAGUCUUAAGAAAGCCCACCCAAGUACCUAUUGAAAACCACAAGCUACCCACCCACUUCCUUAUUCCUAGUAUUGCUGACCCUAUUGUAUUUUUUUGGUAGCACUGGUCGCCAUGAAAUAUUCCGUGUUUCUUAUUUCUUAUGGUUACAGUUUAUUGCCUAUCUUCCAUCUGUUUCCCCCUAGAGAAAUUCCAAGAACACAAGGAUUUAUGUCUAUUUGUUUUGUUUAUGUAUUCAUUUGUAGAAUGAAUAAAUGGAUAAUACUCCUAACCGGAUUUAUUUUUUGGCUUCACCCAUGGCAUGUGGAUGUUCUCAGGCCAGGGACUAAACUCACCACAGCAGUGGCAAUGCUGGAUCCUUAACCAACGGAGACACCAGGGACCUCCCCUGACCAUCUUUUAAAAAUAGAUUUAUUUAUUUUUUAAUUAAAGUAUAGUUGAUUUACAAUGUUGUGCCAAUUUCUGCUUUAUAGCAAAGUGACCUAGUCAUCUGUAUUUAUUUUUUUCUUUUUCUUAUAUUAUCUUCCAUCAUGGUCUAUCCCAAGAGAUUGGAUAUAGUUUCCUGUGCUGUACAGUAAGACCUCGUGGUUUAUCCAUUCUAAAUAUAAUAGUUUACAUCUACUAGCCCCAACUCCCUGUCCAUCCCACUCCCUCUCCAUUCUCCCUUGGCAACUACCAGUCUGAGAACCACGAGUUCUCUAUGCCUGACCAGAUAUUUUUCCAGGUGAUAUUUUCAAGGGAAACUUCAGAGAGAAGCAGUGAGCCUGGCAUGGAAUAGUUUUUAAAUGGAGGAAAAAGUAAGUGAAUUAUAGAAGGAGAAAUGGUGCAAUAGAAUUUAAUGAACAGAACUAAAACUGAGAUUACAUAUGUUCCAGAGCCUGGUUUUAAACCUCCAGUUUCUAAACAUGUUAACUACUCAGCUU